rnacentral:tRNA from 1 species
AGGACUAUAGCUCAGUUAGGUGGAGCACCUCGUUUACAUUUCGAGAAAGUCUACGGUUCUAAUACGUAUAGACCUA